UCAUUUGCUCCGACGGCCCGUAGCUCUCUCUCCAUACCCUGGUUAGCUCUCUCGAUCUCCUUCCUCCUUCAUCUCUACGAAUCAAUUUAUCCAUCUCUCUUUCCGUCGCCGAAUCGCCGAAUCUCUCAGUUAAAGAUAAGGUCAACAUCAUGAACGAAAACAAACGAAAAAGGGAUGGUGGUGUUGGUCCAAAGAUACAGACUCAAAUGCCCCGUACCAAUAAGUUGGUAGAUAUAAACCGAAAAUUAUCUGAUGCGCAAAGGAGUAGAAUUUUGAAAACUCCAUUCCGAUAUCUGGUGGAAAUGAAGACCUAUAUAGGAAUGAAGGGUACUUUAUUGAAGGAAUUAUUGCAUAGUUAGGAUGCAAGUAGCUUAGGAUUUAGAGUAGGCAUUAGAACUGUGGCCUUUAAACAUCUAGACCUUUGUUUGGCUCUAGGUUUGCCUAUUUUAGGAGAAUCUUUGCCGGAUAGUGUACAUUCAAAGCUGAAGGUCCUUCAAGAAGAGGACAACAUAGAUGAUUUUUGUAGAGUUUACAUCCUAUUUGCCUUGUGUGUCUUAUAUUUCCCAAAUUACAUGGUAAAAUUAAAAAAGAUUUCUUUAACCUUGUUGAUGA